AGGGGAAGGAUGAUUACUCAGAGACUGCUCAAGUCACUCUGAGGUUGACAAACCUGAGGAAGUCAUCACUUCUUUAUCCUGUGCCUUGGAAUAAAGACAUAUGAAAUGAAACCACUCCAACUCUAAGCUUGGAGUCAAGUACGACCCAUUCAAAGUCAAACAGACAAGAUUAGGAAACCAAUGCGAACCUACAGACCAAAGACUAGAAGAAAAAAGG
rnacentral:lncRNA from 1 species